CUCAGAAACUUAACGGAAUUGACGGGGACCCGCACAAGCAGCGGAGCAUGUGGUUUAAUUCGAAGCAACGCGAAGAACCUUACCAGAUCUUGACAUCCAAUUGACCAUCUUUUAAUCGAGAUUUUGCCUUCGGGUACAAUUGAGACAGGUGGUGCAUGGUUGUCGUCAGCUCGUGUCGUGAGAUGUUGGGUUAAGUCCCGCAACGAGCGCAACCUUGUGUUUAGUUGCAAACAGGUCAAGCUGUGCACUCUAGACAGACUGCCGUGGACAACACGGAGGAAGGUGGGGAUGACGUCAAAUCAUCAUGCCCCUUAUGAUCUGGGCUACACACGUGCUACAAUGGCCGGUACAACGGGCAGCGAAGGAGCGAUCCGGAGCGAAUCCUAAAAAGCCGGUCCCAGUUCGGAUUGCAGGCUGAAACUCGCCUACAUGAAGUUGGAGUUGCUAGUAAUCGCGAAUCAGAAUGUCGCGGUGAAUGCGUUCCCGGGUCUU
rnacentral:rRNA from 1 species